UACGUAGGGUGCGAGCGUUGCCCGGAUUUAUUGGGCGUAAAGGGCGCGCAGGCGGCCACGCACGUCCGUUGUGAAAUCGCCCGGCUCAACUGGGCGGGGUCAGCGGAUACGGCGCGGCUGGAGCAAGCUAGGGGGCAAUGGAACUCCCGGUGUAGUGGUGGAAUGCGUAGAUAUCGGGAAGAACACCGGUGGCGAAGGCGGUCUGCUGGGGGCGUACCGACGCUGAGACACGAAAGCCAGGGGAGCGAACGGG
rnacentral:rRNA from 1 species